ACCGGUUUCUUAAAUUUCACUGCAUCCACGGCAUUGGUAGUAAAAUUCGAACGCAUUUCAAAAAAACCGAAAUAAAAGCCAAACAUGUUGACCAACUCAUUUGCAGCAGCGAACAGCAAACAGCAUUGUAAUUGCGCCUGUUUUUCGGAACAUUUACAAACACUCGAUGCAAAAUAGAGGGUGUGGGUGGUGGUGUUCAGAUUACGUGCGGAGUAGGGAAAACUAAAAUCAGUUUAGCACAUGCACCAGUAUUUUGUGCUGCAAAAACGCAGUGCAAAGACCAACCAACCAGGCCAGACCAGCCAUGGAUGGCCACAGAAACCACAACAGUGCAACGGGAGCCAGGAAUCAGGAGCAGGAUCAGAAGCACUGGCCAUGUGAUUUCACUGCACCAAUGUCCCGGCAAUUGCCGUACGGCCAGCACUUUGGCCGAAGCAGAAGCAGAAUCAGAAGCACUUUGGCUGCCCAUGUUGAAAAUUCAAAUUUAUGCCAAGCCGGGGCCAAAACAUUCAAAAUAUCCUUGCUGUGCUCCGUCCUUCUGUGACCACCUCCCACUCCACAGCAUUCGACAGAAAGAAAGUUCUCAAGUCUCUUAAAGUUCAGAUUUUGAAUAAAUAGCUUUGGAUUAA